rnacentral:rRNA from 1 species
UACCUGCAGCCCAAGUGGUGCUCGUUAUUAUUGGGUCUAAAACGUCCGUAGUCGGCUGAGUAGAUGCCCGGGUAAAUCGCAGCGCUCAACAUUGCGAAUUCCGGGUAGACCGCUCGGCUAGGGAGUGGGAGAGGUGCGAGGUACUCUGAGGGUAGGGGUAAAAUCCUGUAAUCCUUGGGGGACCACCAGUGGCGAAGGCGUCGCACUAGAACACGUCCGACGAUCAGGGACGAAGCCCUGGGGCGCAAACGGG